GUGAGGAAUAUUGGUCAAUGGGCGAGAGCCUGAACCAGCCAAGUCGCGUGAAGGAAGAAGGAUCUAUGGUUCGUAAACUUCUUUUGCAGGGGAAUAAAGUGCAGGACGUGUCCUGUUUUGUAUGUACCCUGAGAAUAAGGAUCGGCUAACUCCGUGCCAGCAGCCGCGGUAAUACGGAGGAUCCGAGCGUUAUCCGGAUUUAUUGGGUUUAAAGGGUGCGUAGGUGGUUUGAUAAGUCAGCGGUGAAAGUUUGCAGCUUAACUGUAAAAAUGCCGUUGAAACUGGCGGACUUGAGUGUAAAUGAGGUAGGCGGAAUGCGUGGUGUAGCGGUGAAAUGCAUAGAUAUCACGCAGAACUCCGAUUGCGAAGGCAGCUUACUAAGCUACAACUGACACUGAAGCACGAAAGCGUGGGGAUCAAACAGGAUUAGAAACCCCGGUAGUCC
rnacentral:rRNA from 1 species